CUUGUCGUGAUCCAUGCAAGAAACAUGGAGAUACAAGUGCUCGAUUCACUUGGUACUUCACAAGACCGAUUAAAGGUCUCCAAAGGCAAAUUGAUAUGAUAUCUCAACGUAAGGAGUUAAAAGACCACAGGUGGCCAGACCUCCAAGUUGCUUCUUGGCCGCUCAGAGAAAUAGACAUGGGAUAUGCAAAGCAGACAGAUAGCUCUUCAUGUGGCCUCUUUCUUUUGAAUUAUAUCGAAUACUGGACAGGGGAUGAACUGUCUGACAGUUUUACCCAGGAUGACAUGUCACACUUUAGGAAAAAAUGGCUGCUAUAUUACUAUCUUCAGACCUGAAUAAGAGAAGGGGGUGUCUGUUAUACAAAAAUGAUAAAGAAGUUGACUUUGUAAGCCCAUCAGAUGUUGAGAUAUUAGAAAACCCAACAGAUUCUAAGAAGAGGAAACUACUCAACGUGCUUCAUGAUAGCGAAGUAGUGUAUGAAGAUGAGGAAGGCCCUAUUACCCAAGCAGACUUGCAAAAGUGGUUUGUUGAUGAUUGGGAUAAAAGAGCUCCUGUAAAAGUCUCUAACGAUGGGUGCACCAAUGACUUUUUAAUGGUUGGUCUUUCCACAAAGGACAUGCCAUUGACCAAAGCCGAUUCAAUAGAUGUUUUAUGUGAUUAUAUCAUGGCAAUAGAAGACGAUACGACACUAGAGAUGACAUGGGUGCGAAGUUUCAAUCCUUUUAAGAUAGAAAUCUCUGUCAAAGACCUGCAAAACAUAUUAACGAUAAAUCUAGAUAUGACUCUAAGAUGUUUUGAUAUGGCUGUUCGACUGCUUGCCAAUAAAGAGUCACGUAGGCCGAAAGGAGAAAUCAUAAAUAAUAGAAAGCAUUAUAUGGACAUGCGUUUCUGGAGAAUGGUUGGCUUUGGUAAACUUCCAAAGUACCAUCAAGAUCCUACAGCAGAAGAGUUAGCCAAAACACUCGAUUGUUGGCCAUCAAUGAAUUAUUAUAUCACGGGUUGUAGAUAUGUUCUUAUGCCAUGGAAAUUCAAUGGAUGUCACACCCUUUUUGUAAUAGAUUAUGUUAAAAAGCAUGUGACUUUUAUCGACUUUACACCGACUCAAGAUUGGUGUAAACACAUGCCAUACAAGAGGUUUGCAGAAGCGAUUAUCAUGGCCUCAAAGAAAUAUAAGAUUGCUUACAGCAAGAAACGUUCUGGAUGGGCGGAGGAAAUCUUUAAGUGGGAACAUACAAUUCAGACUAGUGUUCCAAUUGACUUAAGAGGGUUUAAUACCAGCUACCUCGUUCUACAAGCUAUGGCCAUGUGGGGGAAUGACACACGAAUGAAAUUUGUUGGGAGAACCAAAGCUGAGUCGACCACAAGAUAUCACUACGCGUGAGCUUCUCCAAAAGAUGAAGCUGAUGGACUAAUCUGAAGAUGGAUGGACGAAGCAAGUAUCGGAAUAAAGGAUGAUCGUCAAGUGGUCGUCGUCUAACAACACUAACCUAGUGUUAUCCAGGUUAUAGUUUUGUGCUGCUGGUGAUGGUGUUAAGUGCUGG
rnacentral:misc_RNA from 1 species